GUGUCCUUCGGGGGGAGCGGGGCGGAAAGGGGGAGUGUAAAACUGGCGUGCGGCUCUGAGGGUGAGCGGAGCCGCCGUUUGUUCAUCCCAGAGCUUUUGUCAUGCCCGAAAUCUAGAUCACAGUAACACUCAAUCCAGAAUCAGAUGGUCUGCGACUGAUGUGUCACUUGGGUCCCUGCUCAGCAGAAGUGCUGUAGUCUACAGGUACAGAAGCUUACAAGCAAACAUGGGCCUACACUGGAAUCAAGGAUUUUGGUUCCAUUCAUUGCAGAAAACAUGGCACACUGAUUGAUGUGGCUGCGAGAGCUUUUGCUUGGAUAAGUGAAUCUUGGAACUCCCUGAGUCUCAUAGGAUGUUUGAAGAAGAAUGUUAAUGUACAGAUCAUUCACCUCAUCUGUUUUGAUUUUACACAGUUUGUCAGAUUCCCUGAGAUAAGAAGCUAUGAGAUUAAAACCACCUGACUUAAUGGAUGUCAAAUAUUGCAGACCAAGAGACAUCUGGUAUUCUAAUCUACCAUACUAUGGAGCUGGCCUGAGAAGUAUUAUACAUACAUCCUAAAUUACUGAUGCUGGAAGCCAGAAUUCUUAACAGGUGAUACACUGCUUCAUUUGUCUAAGACCAUGAAGAACCUGUGAAAUCAUCGGAUUUCUUUAAACAGCUAUUUUAUGUUUGUGCCUGCCUACAUCAAUAAUAAAUAAACCCACCUGAUAAUGAAAUGACUUCUC
rnacentral:lncRNA from 1 species